rnacentral:rRNA from 1 species
CCCUUAGAUGUCCUGGGCCGCACGCGCGUUACACUGAUGCAUUCAACGAGCUUAUAACCUUGGCCGAGAGGCCUGGGCAAUCUUGUUAAUGUGCAUCGUGAUAGGGAUAGAUUAUUGAAAUUAUUAAUCUUGAACGAGGAAUUCCUAGUAAACGCAGAUCAUCAAUCUGCAUUGAUUACGUCCCUGCCCUUUGUACACACCGCCCGUCGCACCUACCGAUUGGAUGGUCCGGUGAAGCCUCGGGAUUGUGGUUCUUGCCGCUUUAUUGUGGCGUGACCGCGAGAACUUGUCUAAACCUUAACAUCUAGAGGAAGGUGAAGUCGUAACA